rnacentral:rRNA from 1 species
GAUGAACGCUGGCGGCGUGCCUAAUACAUGCAAGUCGAGCGAACAGACGAGGAGCUUGCUCCUCUGACGUUAGCGGCGGACGGGUGAGUAACACGUGGAUAACCUACCUAUAAGACUGGGAUAACUUCGGGAAACCGGAGCUAAUACCGGAUAAUAUAUUGAACCGCAUGGUUCAAUAGUGAAAGACGGUUUUGCUGUCACUUAUAGAUGGAUCCGCGCCUCAUUAGCUAGUUGGUAAGGUAACGGCUUACCAAGGGGACGAUGCGUAGCCGAACUGAGGGGGUGAUCGGCCACACUGGAACUGGGACACGGUCCAGACUCCUACGGGAGGCAGCAGUAGGGAAUCUUCCGCAAUGGGCGAAAGCCUGACGGAGCAACGCCGCGUGAGUGAUGAAGGUCUUCGGAUCGUAAAACUCUGUUAUUAGGGAAGAACAAAUGUGUAAGUAACUAUGCACGUCUUGACGGUACCUAAUCAGAAAGCCACGGCUAACUACGUG